UACGUAGGGUGCGAGCGUUUAAUCGGAAUUACUGGGCGUAAAGAGUGCGUAGGCGGUUCGUUAUGUCUGCUGUGAAAGCCCCGGGCUUAACCCGGGAAUGGCAGUGGAAACUGGCGGGCUUGAGUGUGGCAGAGGGGGGUGGAAUUCCGCGUGUAGCAGUGAAAUGCGUAGAGAUGCGGAGGAACACCGAUGGCGAAGGCAGCCCCCUGGGCUAACACUGACGCUGAGGCACGAAAGCGUGGGGAGCAAACAGG
rnacentral:rRNA from 1 species